rnacentral:rRNA from 1 species
CCGGCGCACGGGUGAGUAACACGUAUCCAACCUGCCGACAACACUGGGAUAGCCUUUCGAAAGAAAGAUUAAUACCGGAUGGCAUAGUUUUCCCGCAUGGGAUAAUUAUUAAAGAAUUUCGGUUGUCGAUGGGGAUGCGUUCCAUUAGGCAGUUGGCGGGGUAACGGCCCACCAAACCAACGAUGGAUAGGGGUUCUGAGAGGAAGGUCCCCCACAUUGGAACUGAGACACGGUCCAAACUCCUACGGGAGGCAGCAGUGAGGAAUAUUGGUCAAUGGACGAGAGUCUGAACCAGCCAAGUAGCGUGAAGGAUGACUGCCCUAUGGGUUGUAAACUUCUUUUAUACGGGAAUAAAGUUAGCCACGUGUGGCUUUUUGUAUGUACCGUAUGAAUAAGGAUCGGCUAACUCCGUGCCAGCAGCCGCGGUAAUACGGAGGAUCCGAGCGUUAUCCGGAUUUAUUGGGUUUAAAGGGAGCGUAGGCGGGUUGUUAAGUCAGUUGUGAUAAGUUUGCGGCUCAACCGUAAAAUUGCAGUU